GGGGUAUAGCUCAGUGGUAGAGCACAAGCUUAGAAUGCAUGAGGUUUUGGGUUCAAUCUCCUGUACCUACG
rnacentral:tRNA from 1 species